rnacentral:rRNA from 1 species
AUUGAACGCUGGCGGCAUGCUUUACACAUGCAAGUCGAACGGCCGCGCGGGCUUCGUCCUCGCCGCGAGUGGCCAACGGGCGAGUAAUUCACCCGAACGUGCCCAGCCGUUGGGGCUAGCCCGGCGACAGGCGGCUUAAUAUCGCACACGAUCUGAGGUUGAAAGCGGGGGACCGAUAGUCAUCGCGGUAUUUGCUGGGACGAUGUCGGAUUAGCUAGUUGGUUAGGUAACGGCUUACCAAGGCGACGAUCCGUAGCUGCUCUGAGAGGACGACCAGCCACACUGGGACUGAGACACGGCCCAGACUCCUACGGGAGGCAGCAGUGGGGAAUUUUGGACAAUGGGGGCAAGCCUGAUGCAGCCAUGCCGCGUGAGGGAAGAAGGUCUUCGGGUUGUAAAACGCUUUUAUUCGGGAAGAAAAACUGUGGGAGUAAACCCCGGGGUGAUGACGGUACCGGAAGAGUAAGCACCGGCUAACUACGUG